UCGAGAAUUUUUCUCAAUGGGGGAAACCCUGAAGGAGCGACGCCGCGUGGAGGAUGAAGGCUUUCGGGUUGUAAACUCCUGUCAUUUGGGAACAAAGCCUUACGUUAACUGCGUGGAGGUUUGAUAGUACCGAAAGAGGAAGAGACGGCUAACUCUGUGCCAGCAGCCGCGGUAAUACAGAGGUCUCAAGCGUUGUUCGGAUUUAUUGGGCGUAAAGGGCGCGUAGGCGGCGGGGUAAGUCGGGUGUGAAAUCUCAGGGCUCAACCCUGAAACUGCACUUGAUACUGCUCUGCUUGAGGACUGGAGAGGAGACUGGAAUUCACGGUGUAGCAGUGAAAUGCGUAGAUAUCGUGAGGAAGACCAGUGGCGAAGGCGGGUCUCUGGACAGUUCCUGACGCUGAGGCGCGAAGGCCAGGGGAGCAAACGG
rnacentral:rRNA from 1 species